UCUUUUGUUACAGGUUGGUGAGAAGUAAUCGCGGUUUUUGCCAUUACUGCUCAUGGCAAAAACUGUGAUUACUUUUGCACCAACCUAAUAUAAUAUUUGGUCUUCAAUUA